GACGAACGCUGGCGGCGUGCUUAACACAUGCAAGUCGAACGGAAAGGCCCUGCUUUUGUGGGGUGCUCGAGUGGCGAACGGGUGAGUAACACGUGAGUAACCUGCCCUUGACUUUGGGAUAACUUCAGGAAACUGGGGCUAAUAUCGGAUAGGAGCUCCUGCUGCAUGGUGGGGGUUGGAAAGAUUCGGCGGUUGGGGAUGGACUCGCGGCUUAUCAGCUUGUUGGUGGGGUAGUGGCUUACCAAGGGUUUGACGGAUAGCCGGCAUGAGAGGGUGACCGGCGACAUGAGGACUAAGAUACGGCCCAGACUCCUACGGGAGGCAGAGGGGGGGAAUAUUGCGCAAUGGGCGGAAGCCUGAUGCAGCAACGCCGCGUGCGGGAUGACGGCCUUCGAGUUGUGAACCACUUUCGCCUGUGACGAGGCGUGAGUGACGGUAAUGGGUAAAGAAGCACCGGCUAACUACGUG
rnacentral:rRNA from 1 species